UGAACGCUGGCGGCGUGCCUCAUACAUGCAAGUCGCGCGAACAGAUGCGGAGCUUGCUCCUCUGACGUUAGCGGCGGACGGGUGAGUAACACGUGGAUAACCUACCUAUAAGACUGGGAUAACUUCGGGAAACCGGAGCUAAUACCGGAUAAUAUAUUGAACCGCAUGGUUCAAUAGUGAAAGACGGUUUUGCUGUCACUUAUAGAUGGAUCCGCGCCGCAUUAGCUAGUUGGUAAGGUAACGGCUUACCAAGGCGACGAUGCGUAGCCGACCUGAGAGGGUGAUCGGCCACACUGGAACUGAGACACGGUCCAGACUCCUACGGGAGGCAGCAGUAGGGAAUCUUCCGCAAUGGGCGAAAGCCUGACGGAGCAACGCCGCGUGAGUGAUGAAGGUCUUCGGAUCGUAAAACUCUGUUAUUAGGGAAGAACAAAUGUGUAAGUAACUAUGCACGUCUUGACGGUACCUAAUCAGAAAGCCACGGCUAACUACGUG
rnacentral:rRNA from 1 species